CGUCACUUCCUCCCCGGCGGCCUCCGCGGCCCUGGCGCCCGGUUACUAUGGCAAUGCCGCCGCUCGCCCCGGGGCGCUAGUUUGGGGCCGGGUUUUCGGUGCAGGUGCCCGGCGGGUGCGAGGGCGCUGGAGAUGGCGGCUGGGAGACACCAGCAGAGUCCCGGAAGCCCGAGACGUCCCAGGCACUUCGGUUGCGCUCCCAGCCGGCAGAGGCGCGCCUGGAUUCUGAGACCAGGAAUCGGAGCUGCGCUAUUAGAGCGCAGGGCUGGAGUACAGUGGUGUGAUCCUAACUCAAGCAACCCUCCUGCCUUGGCCCCCCAAAGUGUUGGGAUUACAGGCAUGAGCCACCAUGCCUAGCUCCACAUCAGGUAUUUCUAAUGAGAAUUGAACCUACAAAUUGAAAUGUAAGUAUAAAAUAUACAGCAGAUUUCAAAGACAGUGGGAAAAAAUGUACAAUAUCUCUAUUGAUACUUUAAAAAUAUUGAUCACAUGUUGAAAUGGUAGUACUUUAGAUAUGUUGGGUUUAUUUUUAAUUUUUCAAAAUGUGGCUAAUAGAAAAUUUAAAGUUAUAUAUGUAGCUUACAUAAUAUUUCUAUUUGCUGUAGGAUUCAGUGGCUUACCCAGCACUUCAGAAGACAUUUGAAAAUCAGUCAUGUUCCUCAACCAAGUGAUGCCUUUUAGCGGUGCAAAUUCUGUGCUUAGGAAACUUGCUGCUUGCCCUAAUCUUUUCUUUUUUUGUUUUAAAAUGUGUCAUGUGGCAUUUAAUUGUCCUCAUCUUAUCAAGGGUUCAGUGCACCCUAAUGAGACUUGAAUGCAUCACAAAAUGAUUGUUUCAGAAAGAUUGCUUCAACAACAGAAGAUGGAGAUGGGAAGAGAAUGGUGGGGGAUGUGGUAGCAAAGAAGCUAUUCCAAUGAUCCAACCUCAAGAUCAUGCAAAUGUGAACUAAAGCAAUGGCAUCAGGAUGGAGCAGAGAAGAUGGACUGGAGAGAGUUUUAGGAGAUGGAGGAAGGUAGCCUGGGCCCAACUGAACUCACUGUGUAUUCAGAAAAUAACCCACAGUUGGGAAAUUCACAGUGCCAUUGCUUUGAAUCAAAUCCUUACUUCAUACCAGGAUGUACCAUGAUUCUUGGCAACAUGACUGGGUAUUGAUGUCUUGUCUAGCCAAUGAAAUCCACAUAGCAAAGAUGUUAUGAAGACAUGGAAACAUGAAUAUGAAAUAAAAUCAGUAUAGCUAUUUGGAUGAUUAGCUAUCGACACAAGACAGUCCCUGGUAAUUGCCUUUAAUAGUAAGGUAGCACUAGGCCAUGAAAGGUGCUUCAGUGUACCUGCCUCAUUUGUGGCUCCCUUUUGGCCAUGUGACCCUAACUCCCCUGGUCACAAGUGGCUGAACCAGCAAUCAAUACCUGACCUGAAGGCAACCCUCUAUAGGCUGGCAAGUGGCCUACAAAGUUGCUCAGUGCUAGAGAACUGAGCCCAACAGAAGUACAUUCUAAUGUUUAGUGAUUGGCCAAUCGUAUUCUUUGUGAUGGUGCUGAUGGGAAGGUAGUGAUGUGCAUCAGACAUGCAGAGUUAGUAGCAGCUGGAGCAGACACAGAAGCCUCCCUAACAAUGGGCAAUGGAGAAAGGAACAACAGACAGUUCUGAAAGAAUACCAAGUGCUCCUAAGCCAAAAGCUAUAGUUAGGCUGCUGGAGGUACUGCCAGUCCUAAAUGAUGGCAAUGAUGGUCCAUUUUUCUGUGAAACUUGACUGUAUACCUGUUAAGAUUUUUUUGUGUUCUUUUUAAGGCUCCAUGAAUGAAUCUUUCCAAUAAACAAGUUUGUAACAAAGGCAACCUGAACAUUUCUGAUACUUGAAACUUGAAAAUAUCUAAUACAAUUUUACAUCACUUUCAAAUCAUGAGUGAAGAAGUUAAUGUGUUAUUGAAUUAGAUUCCCUAUACAUAUGUCAGUUACUUAUUCAAUCAAUAAUAUGUACUGAUAACCUACUAUGUGCCAGACAUGUACUAGCAUUAGGAAUUUAGUAGUGAACAAGAUUGACAUGACUCCAGCCUAGAUUGUGCUAUGGUCUAGCCUGGAGUAUUUAGACUCCUUGGGUCUUAAUACAUACGGAGAAACCUGAAUGUAUGUCAGAAGCAUGUGAUCUACAUUUGUUUGCUUUCGUUUUAAAUAUUCAUGGUUUCCGAAUAUAUUACAUGAAUAAGGAUGUAACAUUAAAACCCAUGUGUUAACAUUUUAAUCUAAGGAUAUUUAUAUCAAAGUACAGCUUAGUUCAGAGCUUUCUAAAUUUUAGUACAUCUGAAACAAAGUGAACAACAGAAAGAAGGUUAACAAAACCAUAAACUGUUAAGUAGAACAUGGCCCCUAAGUAGAGCCAGAAGUAUAGUACUGUAACAAGAUGACACUUGCAGAAUCCAACAGAAGAAGAGAAUAAAAUGAUGACAUUUAUAUGCUAGCAUUUUGCAACAGUGGUAAUGUGCCACCUGUAAAUGAAGUGAAUCCUGGAAAUAAAAAGGCUGGCCAUUUUUCCUCAUCCUGAGUAAAAGAUAAACUGAAAAUUAAUGGCAUGGAUUGCUCAAGAUAACAGACUGAAAAUAAAGAUACAGGUGAUUCAUUAAACUAGAUGAAGAAAAAUGGAGAAGAUAGAAUCUGAUGCUUGGUGAAAUUGAAAUGUCAAGGAAUUGACAUUGAUGCAUUCUGUGAUGAUCCUGCUGGUAACUCAAUAGUCAGGCAAAGGAUUUUAAUGUUAUAUUUCUUAGACCAACUAAAAUUAAGAAUGAAUGUCUUUCCCAGUAGAGAUAAGAUGGCCCAGGGGGAGUGGAGAGUUGAGGGAACCCUGUUAAGUGCUUUAGAGUUUCUAGGGAUUUUUUUUUUUCCUAGUCAAUCUCUGCUUAUCCAUCUAGGACUCUUUAGUUAUUAUUUUAGUGGAGCAUUAAGAGACUAAAAAUGCUCUUAUAUUUUAUCAUUCAAACUUUUACAGGCUUUCUUUCCAAGAUACUCAAAUCCCUAAACACCUGAACUUCUAAUUGCUUUACAAGACUUAGUCUCAUUGGUUGCUAUAGUACUGCUGUGGAAAUUCUCUUCUUGUCUUCAACUAAAUAGGUUGCAGUUUAAAUAUCUGCAACUCUCUGGGAACACAAACAACAUUAGAAAUUAGAAAGAUAAUAUAACUGUGGCUACAGCAGGUAACUUUUAAUUAUCAGGUUUAUAUGUAAUUUUAUACAUUCAAAUUUGAAAACUAGAAUGAAUAGAUGGCCUUAAGGAAACUAUAAACUAUUAAACAGAACCAAGAAUAGGUAGAGAACCCAAAUAGAUUGAUCAUCAUCUAAGAAACUGAAAAGAUUUGGGAGGCUGAGGUGGGAGAGUAGCUUGAGCCCAGGGUUUCAAGACCAG
rnacentral:lncRNA from 1 species